CAUUAAGAAACACUCUUAAUUUCAUACUGAUGCCUCUAUUUGACGCACAUAAGCAAACAACACCCUCAGCGAGAAUAUUGGCUAAUACACUUAGUAUAGUUAUUCUAUUUUAGAUUAUAGCAAUUUUUAUGUGCUGAAGAUAAGUCAAAGGGUGCAACAGCCUGAGGAAAGAAGUUUCUCUGUCGUCUGAUGGUACGGCACUAAAACACAGUCGAUACAUACAUUACCUCAUUGCAACGCACCCUGACAUACAGCUGUGUUUGAAAAAGAAAAAUAGCGUUAAAAAGACAUUGCGUCUUGCCUUCACUUGCUUUUGAAACAAACGUCUGAACUGUCCAGAUGAAGACAUUUAUCAAGGUGGUGGUUCUCUUUUGUCCACAGGGGGCGCCAGAAUCAACAGAUAAUGAUCUUUGUAGCUGCUUUAACUUCAUGCUACUUCAUCCUUCUGCAGUACUGCUAUACUGAUUUAUCUCUUCACCUUUUGGACGGGCUGACCCAUGGUAACCACUGCGUGACACAACGUGGGUGCGGACAAAGGCGUUAAAUGUAGACCAGCCGCUGACCAUAUGACAAUGCCACUCAUACUGUGCUGCAUCAGUGUGGUCUAUAAUCUAGAAAUGUCAUAUAUUCCACAGAGUUGGUAUUUUUUACUUUUGAUAAUCUAGGUACAUUUCAAUGAUGAUAGUUCCGGAGUACUUUACUACUCAGGACUUUAUCUUGUUAUGUAGGAUUUAAAUUUGUUGUUAACUUUCACCUUACAAGAAAAUAAUCAAUAUGGUUUGAGGUACCUGAGCUAUACUUGGGUACUUGUUGUUCAUAGAAAUGUAUUCAUUCUCAUCGAGCUAUUUGAGGCUAUAAUUGAGUCUGUGGUUUCAAAUGAAUUUUCCAUAUUCAUAAUUGUAGAGCAGCAACGUGGCUCUGUCGCUCCUUGUCCAAGCUGGAAAAAAAAAAAAAAAAGAAAAACAGUGUUAAACAAUAAAAAUAAAAAUAAAAAA